rnacentral:rRNA from 1 species
UGGAGAGUUUGAUCCUGGCUCAGGACGAACGCUGGCGGCGUGCUUAACACAUGCAAGUCGAACGGAAAGUGCUCUUCGGAGUGACUCGAGUGGCGAACGGGUGAGUAACACGUGGGUGAUCUGCCCUGCACUUUGGGAUAAGCCUGGGAAACUGGGUCUAAUACCGAAUAGGACCAUGGCAUUCAUGUGCUGUGGUGGAAAGCUUUUGCGGUGUGGGAUGGGCCCGCGGCCUAUCAGCUUGUUGGUGGGGUAAUGGCCUACCAAGGCGACGACGGGUAGCCGGCCUGAGAGGGUGACCGGCCACACUGGGACUGAGAUACGGCCCAGACUCCUACGGGAGGCAGCAGUGGGGAAUAUUGCACAAUGGGCGCAAGCCUGAUGCAGCGACGCCGCGUGAGGGAUGACGGCCUUCGGGUUGUAAACCUCUUUCAGUAGGGACGAAGCGCAAGUGACGGUACCUAUAGAAGAAGGACCGGCCAACUACGUGCCAGCAGCCGCGGUA